UACGUAGGGGGCAAGCGUUGUCCGGAAUUAUUGGGCGUAAAGCGCUCGUAGGCGGUUUGUCGCGUCUGCUGUGAAAACCCGAGGCUCAACCUCGGGCCUGCAGUGGGUACGGGCAGACUAGAGUGCGGUAGGGGAGAUUGGAAUUCCUGGUGUAGCGGUGGAAUGCGCAGAUAUCAGGAGGAACACCGAUGGCGAAGGCAGAUCUCUGGGCCGUAACUGACGCUGAGGAGCGAAAGCAUGGGGAGCGAACAGG
rnacentral:rRNA from 1 species